CCUACGGGUGGCUGCAGUGGGGAAUAUUGCACAAUGGGCGCAAGCCUGAUGCAGCCAUGCCGCGUGUGUGAAGAAGGCCUUCGGGUUGUAAAGCACUUUCAGCGGGGAGGAAGGCGGUGAAGUUAAUAACCUCAUCGAUUGACGUUACCCGCAGAAGAAGCACCGGCUAACUCCGUGCCAGCAGCCGCGGUAAUACGGAGGGUGCAAGCGUUAAUCGGAAUUACUGGGCGUAAAGCGCACGCAGGCGGUCUGUCAAGUCGGAUGUGAAAUCCCCGGGCUCAACCUGGGAACUGCAUUCGAAACUGGCAGGCUAGAGUCUUGUAGAGGGGGGUAGGAUUCCAGGUGUAGCGGUGAAAUGCGUAGAGAUCUGGAGGAAUACCGGUGGCGAAGGCGGCCCCCUGGACAAAGACUGACGCUCAGGUGCGAAAGCGUGGGGAGCAAACAGGAUUAGAUACCCGAGUAGUC
rnacentral:rRNA from 1 species